rfam:Triticum aestivum genome assembly, contig: Triticum_aestivum_CS42_TGACv1_scaffold_230140_3B
CAACUACUCCCUCUGUCCCAAAUUUCUUGUCUUAGAUUUGUCUAGAUACGGAUGUAUCUAAUACUAAAAUGUGACUUGAUACAUCCGUAUCUAGACAAAUCUAAGACAAGAAUUUUGGGACGGAGGGGGUACUUU